rnacentral:rRNA from 1 species
UACAGAGGUCUCAAGCGUUGUUCGGAUUCAUUGGGCGUAAAGGGUGUGUAGGUGGCGCCGUAAGUCGGGUGUGAAAUUUCGGAGCUUAACUCCGAAACUGCAUUCGAUACUGCGGUGCUUGAGGACUGGAGAGGAGACUGGAAUUCAUGGUGUAGCAGUGAAAUGCGUAGAGAUCAUGAGGAAGACCAGUGGCGAAGGCGGGUCUCUGGGACAGUUCCUGACACUGAGACACGAAGGCCCAGGGGAGCAAACGGG